AUUGAACGCUGGCGGCAGGCCUAACACAUGCAAGUCGAACGAGUGGCGGACGGGUGAGUAAUGUCUGGGAAACUGCCUGAUGGAGGGGGAUAACUACUGGAAACGGUAGCUAAUACCGCAUACCAUAAGAUAGGCCGAGAUCGGAUUAGCUAGUUGGUGGGGUAACGACUCACCAAGGCGACGAUCCCUAGCUGGUCUGAGAGGAUGACCAGACACACUGGAACGGAGACACGGUCCAGACUCCUACGGGAGGCAGCAGUGGGGAAUAUUGGACAAUGGGCGCAAGCCUGAUGCAGCCAUGCCGCGUGUAUGAAGAAGGCCUUCGGGUUGUAAAGCACUUUCAGCGGGGAGGCGUUACCCGCAGAAGAAGCACCGGCUAACUCCGUGCCAGCCGCCGCGGUAAUAC
rnacentral:rRNA from 1 species